rnacentral:rRNA from 1 species
GACGAACGCUGGCGGCGUGCUUAACACAUGCAAGUCGAACGGAAAGGCCCUGCUUUUGUGGGGUGCUCGAGUGGCGAACGGGUGAGUAACACGUGAGUAACCUGCCCGUUACUUUGGGAUAACUUCAGGAAACUGGGGCUAAUACCGGAUAGGAGCUCCUACUGCAUGGUGGGGGGUGGAAAGUUUCGGCGGUUGGGGAUGGACUCGCGGCUUAUCAGCGUGUUGGUGGGGUAGUGGCUUACCAAGGCUUUGACGGGUAGCCGGCCUGAGAGGGUGACCGGCCCCAUUGGGACUGAGAUACGGCCCAGACUCCUACGGGAGGCAGCAGUGGGGAAUAUUGCACAAUGGGCGGCAGCCUGAUGCAGCAACGCCGCGUGCGGGAUGACGGCCUUCGGGUUGUAACCCGCUUUCGCCUGUGACGAAGCGUGAGUGACGGUAAUGGGUAAAGAAGCACCGGCUAACUACGUG